CGAAAGAUUUUAUUCUUAUAAAUACAUUAUACUGUUUAAACUUAAAGGAUGUGCUUUUAAAAUAUAAAAAAUAUAGAAGUUAGUUUUCGGGCCUGGGGGCUUUCGGCUUGGGAUGCCUGUGUCUUCUCUGGGCUUCUCUUUGUUCUUCGACCUCUACGAGUGCUUAGGUCCAGCUGGGUUGUGUGGAACUCAUUCGCUUGGUUUUCUCAUGCUCUGUCCUUCGUUUUCUUUGCGUCUGCUGGGGCUCCAGUGACGGCGGCCUGGGUUUCCAGGAGGCUAUUGAUUUCAUCUGGCUGCACUCGACUAUGAUUCGUUGUGGGUGUUGGCUUGGGAGAGAUGGCCUAUAAUCAUGAUGAUGCAUUAAGUGCGAAGCCCACUUGGCUGGCCCUUCCUCCUUCAGCGGCAUUGGGAGAGCGGCUGAUUUUCGGAUUGGUUCGAGGAUUUUAGUUCCUCUUGCCCUUCAUUGAACCUCUAAUCUUGUUCGGUUGUUAACGGGAAUAGGUUCCCUGCGCCAUUGUAGUUUGUUCCUUGGCUAGAUCACUGUUUCAUGUUGGCUGCUGUUUUGGCAUUAUCAAGGUCAGGAUUAGGAAAUCUGCAUUCAAGUUUAAUUUGAUCACACCCUUAAUUUGUAUAACCCAUCCACAGAGGUUGACUGUAAUUUUUGUUUUGUUUCAUACGUGGCAAUCUGAUUGGUGGGAGGCACCUGAGGUUGAGCACGUGCAGUGCUUUCAUUCUGACUGAUUGGUCUUCGAGACAGAUAUGGUUUUUAUAAUUACAACUGAAUAUUUUAGAACAUUGCUGUGAUUAAAGUCUUCCAGGCGGAUAUAGGAUGGAUGAACUCUGUCAUGAAACAAUCUUUCACUCACUGAGUAGGGUUAGAAGUUUGGGCUAAAGCUUGUAAUGGGAAGUGUUGAGGUGAGUUAUGUAAAUGAAAUGAUGUACUAAGGAUGGGUUUUGUUAAAUGGACAACUACAUGUUAUUGUGUAUGAAAAAGAAUGGACAUUUUGAAAUGUUAGAAUGAGAUUUUAGUGUGUAAUGUUGAGAAAGAAAGAUUAAA